rnacentral:rRNA from 1 species
CCUACGGGUGGCAGCAGUGAGGAAUAUUGGUCAAUGGACGAGAGUCUGAACCAGCCAAGUAGCGUGAAGGAUGACGGCCCUAGGGGUUGUAAACUUCUUUUAUAUGGGAAUAAAAUGUUCCACGUGUGGGAUUUUGUAUGUACCAUAUGAAUAAGGAUCGGCUAACUCCGUGCCAGCGGCCGCGGUAAUACGGAGGAUCCGAGCGUUAUCAGGAUUUAUUGGGUUUAAAGGGAGCGUAGGUGGAUUGUUAAGUAAGUUGUGAAAGUUUGCGGAUCAACCGUAAAAUGGCAGUUGAAACUGGCGGACUAGAGUUAAGUAGAGGUGGGCGGAAGUCGUGGUGUAGCGGUGAAAUGCGUAGAUAUAAGGAAGAACACCAAUGGCGAAGGCAGUUCACUGGACUGCAACUGACGCUGAGGCACGAAAGCGUGGGGAGCAAACAGGAUUAGAUACCCGGGUAGUC